UUUGUGUUGUUCCGUUUUCAGUUGAUCAGUAGUGGAGCCCAGUCGGGACGAUCGGGGAUCUGUGUAGCAUUUGGGGUAGUCUUCUUUUAUUUUGGGUUCCGUAGUCGGACCUUGAUUGUAUCUGGUUGUUGUAAUGCUUUAUUCAUGUAUUGUGUGAAGUGGCGAUUAUAAGCCAACUAUGUAUCUCUUUCCCUUAUGUAUUACAUGGGUUGUGUGAAGAUUACCUCAAUUGCGACAUUGCUUUCAAUGCGGUUAUGCCUCUAAGUCGUGCUUCGACACGUGGGAGAUAUAGCCGCAUCGAGGGCGUUUCAAGUUGGUAUCAGAGCCUUCCCCAACCUUAGGAGCCCCAUUGUUUGAUCGAAUUAGCGGACGAGUUGAGUCUAGAAAAAUGUUUUGAGUCAUUUAGGAAUUAUAUAUCGGAGAGUUUAGGAAUUCUUUUUACUCCCCAGUCCGUUCAUCGCUCUGGUAAGUCAUCCUGACGUAGAGUCUUGACUCUUCUCUUCUCAAAUUUCACUAAAAAAAUUUAGGAUCACGCGGGUAUCUUGGAAUUGUUCCGAUCGAUUUGUGACGAGAAUAUUGUUCUUGGUGCCUCCUGUCAUUUAGGGGUUGUUGCAGUGUCCCGGGGAGUUGAGCUCCGAGGUGUUGUGGUCACAAUUUUAUGAUUGCAGUCCUGGAAUACCUGAGUUUAGUUUCGCCGACAUCAAAAAUCUCUUUUAUGCAGUUGUUGGUGAGAUAACCUCGACGCCACCCAGUACUGGGGCGGGAGUUCGGGAGUAUUGCCAUAACUCGUAUAACGGAUGCUUUUCGAAAGGUUGAGGUAGAUGAUUUCCGAAGGUUUCUUGGUUAUGUGUUGAAGGAUGGAUACAGCUGGAUGUAGAAUUUGCUAGUUUUGGGGUGAGAUAUUAUGCUUCCCCUGUAUACCCAACACCUGAUUGCAUAACCGGAAAGUUUCGAGAGUUUAUAAGUGGGAAUUCAAGUAGCUCUUAGGAUAUCUUUUCGACAGAUGUAUGAUAUGAAAUUGGGGUUCGACGUCUAGUGGUCCGCCUAUUCACGGUCGGUUUUACAGUGGUCUCGUUGUGUCUUAAAGAGUCCUUGGCUAUGCCGACUCGGGGAUGCUUCGUAUGUCAUGUGCACUGCCUUGUACAUGAUGGUGCUGUACGAUCGAGCCCGUGUAGGCCCCACCAUGAAAACUUCGGGCGAAAUCUCUAUCAUAUGUUUGUUCCGGCUUAUUCUGCAAGCCAAUCCUCUGUUUUGUUUUGAGUUGUGGUAUCCGAGUUGCUUCGAAGUCAAAUGUUGAUUCCAUACCUUCUCUAAACGGUGUUCUCAUAUUCCUAUGGGAAUACUAAUCCUUCAUGAUAAUCGAGAUUGUCAUGCCAAUUUCUUUUCACCGGCGUGUUUCUCUUCAAGUGGAUCCGAUCAUUUCAACAACCGCAAGAUCAAGUAUCAGUUCUUCUCAACGGUGUUUGUUUCAUCCGUCUCCAAGUUGCCUUUGUUUUCCCGCGCACCCACCCUUUUUCCUCAAGGACUCGGAUUUCUUAAUCAAGUAUCCUUUUAUUCUUGUGAAGUCUCUCCAUCCUUUUCCGUCAAUAUUCUUAUCCGGUGAUUCUCAUGAAGAUCCUAACGGAGCUUCAAGUUAUCAUUCUUUGUUUCUUCUCCUCUCCGGUGGAUUCAAGUCAAGAUUUGUCGAUUAUAUCCCCUUUCCUCAUUUCAAAUACCUUCUCUUGACGGUGCUACUCAUAUUUAUUCAUUUCUCGCUAUUCAAUUGUUCCGGAGUGCUGAAGAUGUCUCGAAGAUUCGUGUAUCCACUCUUAAUCCGUUCAAGCUAUUUUGAGGAUGUUAUCUAAUUCAAACCAUUUAACUCAACCGGUGUUUUCUCUUUUAAAUAGUUCAACGGUGUAUCUUUUCAGUGGGCCCUAACCCACAGGUCUUUUCCAGAAUCUUACCUGGCUCUUCUUAUUUUCCCGGAGUUACUCUCAAAUUCUUUUUGCAAGUUUGACGUAAGAAUGAGUUCUCAUCAGUCAAAUGCCUUUCUCUAAUAUCUCUCAAAUUCUUUUCAUCGUUGGCUCAACCUAUUCGUUUUGAUUCUUCCAGAGUGUAUAAACGAUUCAUGGUGGUGUUUCUCGUCGUAAUUCUCAGAUUUUGAAGACCGAAGAAGAAUUUUCUCCAUAUCUUGCUCCACUCUCUUCAAUAUUCGUGAUUCUAGCUUGUUGCCAUCCUCUCAUAAUUAUUUUUCGAUUGUGAGAAUUCUUUUCACCCAUCCGGAGCAUUUCAUGAGUUGUUUUCCAUUUCUUUUCCCCGAAGCCCAUCAUUUAAGAAGACUUAUUCAUACUCAGCUUUCAACUAUCAUUCUCCAAUUUUACCGGUGCUUCGUUCAAGUGAUCUUUAAUCGGCUCGUGAUCUCUUUGUUCUCAUGUAUCUAAAUCCUCUCAAGCAUCUUUGUUCAUUUUCUAAUUCUUCCCGGUGUUUCUCUAUCUUUUCUUCGUGCAUUUCCAAUUAAUCCGGUGGUUCGUUUAAGAUCUUUUCCUUGGUUAUCACAUCAAUUCAUUCGUUCUUCCAAACCCUUCCGAUGGUUCGUUCAAUACCUUUCCAAGUUGGCGCGAUAUCUAUCUUAAUCUUUCUACGAGGAUAAGUAGUAUGUCAAAUCCAUUGCUUGUCAUCAAUUUGAAUUGGUUAAGGAUAAGCAUAAUGUAAUUCUUAUUAUUGUUUCAUCCAAGUGAUUUAAUUCCUUAUUCCGGAGGUUCAUCAAAAUUCUUGAUUUCAUUUGUUUCAUCUUUUCUUUUCCGGAGUUCCAAGUUUUUCUGCAUUAUAUCGUCGCGAAGCUCCAUCUAAAUCAUUGCAAGGCUUCAACCUUAUUCUUUUCAUCCUUCAUUUCGUUUGAUCAUUCUUUUGUUACCGGAGUUCUUCAUGAAUUUUCUACAUGAUGGUUCAUCAAGGAUUUUAUCCCUUCUCGAAGUUUUCAUCGAGAUUCUUUUCUAAGGAGAUCAAGUAUUCUUCAUCUUGCAAUCCGGAGUGCAAUUCUUUCUUCCGUAUCAAUAGAGGUGGUAUUAUGUCAUUCUUGAUAAUUUGAGUUCAUGUUCCAUGAUUCACAUGUUGUUAAGAAUGAGAUAUUUUAAAUCCAUCAAUUUUGCCAUUGGAGUUAUCUUGGGUUAUAUUUCACCUAAAGCUUUCCCUAAGGAUUGUGGCUAUUUAUGGUGCUUAUGAAUGAUCCAAUUUCUUCAUUUUUCCUUUCCGGUGCGAUAUACUUUCUCGUCAAUGUGCUCAUAUCAAUCCAAUUCUUUUCCCGUGAGUGGCAAGUUGUCACCUCAUAAUUUGAGAUGUAUUCCAUAAGACCAUAUCAAGCUUAUUUUUUUCGUUGUUGAUAAUCCAACAACUCCAUUCCAGCAUUUGUUGUAAGCAUGCUCUCUCAAGAUCUUGUUCCUCUCCGUCCAUCCCAUUCCGUUCUUUCAUUUCUUCCGGAGGCUUUGUGAUGUUGCUAUUUUCAAUCAUCAUCUCGAAUUGUGAAGAUCAUGAUCUUUUCAUGCUUAUCCUUUUAACCGGAGUAGGUUCAAUAUAAAUCUUGCCCUUCAACCUCAAGGUUUUCGCAAUGUUCUUUGUCCCUCUUUUCUAACGGAGUGUUUUCGACUUUGUUCACCUUCCUUGUAUUUUUAUUUUUCUCGAAUUUGUUCAACCUGGCAAGGUUCUUUGGUUUCACUCGUUUGUCAAAGGAGCGACUUAGUCUUACCUCUUCUCUUUCUCUUUCGUUGUCCCUCCGGUGCCAUUCUAAAUCUCGGGAUGAGAUCCUCUCGUAGUGGUGGAGUGUUGUAACGCCCCGAGACCGAUGCGCCAGGUGUCCUCUAGUUAUUCGCUGCUGUUGCCUUGUCAUUGCUUGCGUGUCAUGCAUUGCAUAUCAUAUCAUCAUGUGCAUUGUCAUAUUCAUGCAUGUUGUAUUGUUGCAUGCUCCAUGUGUGGUUCUUGCACCAUCACUCCUCCUUCCUUUCCUUUCUUCCAUUUCUGCAAGUGCCAUUUUCCCUUCUCUUUUGAUGUUCAUCUUUUCCCCAAUAUUCUAACACCAUGUACCUAGCCUCUCUGUCAAAUUUCAUCUCUAUUGGAAUUGUUUUCUUUAGGGUUUAAAAUGGUUCAAGUUUGAAUUUAAUUCAAACUUGAAUUAUUUUUACUUCCUUUAAAAAUCUCCAAACCAAUUUUGUUAAAUAGAGCACAUUUUCAGGAUCAUGAGAAUAUUUUUUUAUAUUUCUCUAGCUCCUCUCCUUUUCCCCUGCUCUUUCCUUUUUGUAUUUCUAUCUAAAGAAAUGGAAAAGAAAAGAAAGAGGUAGAAGCAGUACACCAGGCCAGCCCAGCCCGCCAACCACCUCCCACUCUGGUAAUUCCACCUCCACGUAGCAUAUUUUUUACCCUGGGCCCGCCUGUCAACCUCUCUUCCCUCACCUUUUCUUCCUCCUCUCGAUUGCUCUCCUUCUCGCAAUAAAAGAGGGAUGCAGCACGCACAAGGCCACCGUGGCCACCACGGUGCCCAUGCUUCCCCUAUAAAGCCAGCGCUUCGCCCCUAGGGUUUCCCUUCUUUCCCUCUCCUCCCUUUGCCGCCGCCGCAGGUGAGCCACCCAACAUAGUCGACGACUCUUCCACCAGAGAGCUCCCGGAGCAGUUCCAUGGCUCCGCCGCGGCCAUAGCCCUCUUCCGCCACUGUCUUCGCUCCUGGUCGGCUCGCCUACGUCGUCUACUUUGUCUUCAAUCAAGGCCAGGAGCUGGAAGAACCCAAGGCCGACGCGAUCGACUCCCUCCAGGCCUCCACGACGUCAUCUUCCUCCGCUUCAUCUUCUUCAUGGUCUAGAGUAGCGCCAAGUUCAGCGAGCCCCGUCAUCCCUCCGUCCAUCUCUCGCCGAGCCGAUCACCCGAGCGUGUUCGUGGUGAGCAUGCGCACCUUCCCAGUCAUUGUUUCCCCUCGAUUGCAUCCUGUUACGCGUGUUCCAUGUGAUUCCCGAGCUCGACUUCGUCGGACCUCGUCACCGGCGAGGAGUCCGGCCUCUUUCCGUCUCGAGCCCGACGUAGUAGGUUCCGCCUGUCGCGUAGGGCUCAUCCAGCUUAGAUUCGCGCCACUUCGACCUGUGUUUCUUCGAGUUCAAGUAUGGCCUCGCCGCCUCUGUUUCCUCAACGCCGGCGACGCUUCCAUCGUCACUUGGUGCUGUGCGAGACAUGCGGGAGUUUGGGUCCCCGUUGCGGUUCAUUUGCGCACCUCAGUCGUAGCUUUUGGUCGCCGGAGUUUCCUCCGACGAGCUCCUUCGCCAUCCCGCUCGCAUGCGCCGGAGGCUCCCUUGUUUUCUCUGCUCCUCGCUUGCGCACACGCCCACGCGCAUCUUCUCUGAACCAGCCGGCAACCAUGGCCGUAGCCAUGUCUAGCUAGUCCGGCCUCACGCGAGCCCCUGCAUGCAUCGCAACCUCACCAAGAUCCGCACCCCCGCCGCCGCUCUCUAGCCUCAACCGUCGCUGCUUUGCUCGCCAUCGUCGCCGGCGAUCUCCGUGCCACCAUGGAGGGCCAAGGUCCGCCUUUCUUGGUGGUCUUAUGACGUUUAUCUGCAUCUAUGCCAAACACACAGCAGUAGCGCAGUGGAUCAGACCACAGACUUCUACCAGGGAGACCCGGCUUCGAACCCACCCCAUCAGGGACAUUUAGCCCCCUCAAUUUUUGCCUUUGUUGCCUCUAUGACAGUGGGACCCCACUCGUCAUCCUCUCUAUCCACACACACACCCCUUUCCACAGCCACUUGGGUCGCUGCACUGUUUUGCUUCUCGACCGCGUAUGUGUUUUUUUUCUGCUCUGUGAUUUUAGCAUUUUCCAGUGCAUAUAUAUAUUUACAGGAAAUGCCACUUCUUUAAGAUGCUAAUAACCAAAUAUCCAUGCACCUAAAUAAAACAUUUCAUAUAUGUAAAAUGCCUAGAAUUUUGUCUAGUUUCAUAAUAUGCAACUUUUAUCUAUGUUUAAAAUGCUGUUUGUGUAUUUUUUUGUCCAUAUGCCAUGCUAAAAUGCUUUAUUUCAUAACUAAAUAACCGUAACUCAGAAUUUCAUAAACUUUAUAUGUAAUUGGGGUGGAAAAAUGCCUAGUUUAUCAUGAUGGCUUUACUUUGUAUGUUUAAUAACUCUAAAAUUGUGUUUAGGACAGAUCAGUACCAAACCUAAUAUAUACAUAUGGGGAUUUACCGGAAUUGUUGUUCGUUGCUUCCGGCCUCAUUUAAACUUGCCUAGAUAGGUAGUUUUCAUUUGCUUCACUCUCUUGCCAUGUUUAACAACAUUUAAUAUUGUUGAGUACAUAAACGAGAUUGAACUAAAUAACCAAAUGUGGUGUUUCGUCAAUAUGCAACGGAGUUGCAUAAUGAGCUCCACUUAAUUUGUAGGAUUGUUUGUGCACUUUGCCAUGCCAUGCUUCAUUAAACCGGACAUGCAUCAUACUUGUUUGUGCAUCAUGCCAUGUUGAUGUGUUGGUUGUUUACUAUGUUGCUUGCUUCUUUCCGGUGUUGCUUCUUCUCGGUAUUCUGGUAACGUCACGUUUGUGAGGAUUCGUUCAACUACGUCUGUUUGUCUUCUUCAUGGACGCGUUCUUCUUCCUUGCGGGAUUUCGGGCAAGAUGACCAUACCCUCGAAAUCACUUCUAUCUUUGCUUGCUAGAUGCUCGCUCUUUUGCUAUGCCUAUGCUGCGAUACCUACCACUUGCUUAUCAUGCCUCCCAUAUUGUGAACCAAGCCUCUAACCCACCUUGUCCUAACAAACCGUUGUUUGGCUAUGUUACCGCUUUGCUCAGCCCCUCUUAUAGCGUUGUUAGUUGCAGGUGAAGAUUGAAGUUUGUUCCUUGUUGGAACAUGGAGAUGUUGUUCCUUGUUGGAACAUAUUUACUUGUUGGGAUAUGACAAUUUAUCUUAUUUAAUUAAUGCAUCUAUAUACUUGGUAAAGGGUGGAAGGCUCGGCCGUAUGCCUGGUGUUUUGUUCCACUCUUGCCGCCCUAGUUUCUGUCAUAUCAGUGUUAUGUUCCCGGAUUGUGCGUUCCUUACGCGGUUGGGUAAUAAUGGGAACCCCUUGACAGUUCGCCUUGAGUAAAACUCUUCCAGCAAUGCCUAACAUUGGUUUUACCAUUUGCCACCUAGCCUUUUCUUUCCCUUGGGUUCUGCAGACUCAAGGGUCAUCAUUAUUUUAACCCCCCCGGGCCAGUGCUCCUCUGAGUGUUGGUCCACCUGUCAGCUACUGGUGGCCACCAGGGGCAACUCUGGGCUGGCCUACUCGUACCUAAGACAAUCUGAGUGUGCCCUGAGAACGAGAUAUGUGCAGCUCCUAUCGGGAUUUGUCGGCACAUUCGGGCGGUGUUGCUGGUUUAGUUUUACCUUGUCGAAAUGUCUUGUAACCGGGAUUCCGGGUCUUUCCGCUAGAAGGAAUAUCCUUCGUUGACCGUGAGAGCUUGUGAUGGGCUAAGUUGGGACACCCCUGCAGGGAUUUGAACUUUUGAAAGCCGUGCCCACGGUUAUGGGCAGAUGAGAAUUUGUUAAUGUCCGGUUGUAGAAAACCUGAAGUUGACCUUAAUUAAAAUGCAACAACCGCGUGUGUAACCGUGAUGGUCUCUUCUCGGCGGAGUCCGGAAAGUGAACACAGUGUUGGAGUUAUGUUUGACGUAGGUUGUUCUAGGAUCACUUCUUGAUCAUAGUUUCUCGAUCGUGCUUUGCCUUCUCUUCUCGCUCUCUUUUGCGAAUAUGUUAGCCACCAUAUAUGCUAGUCGCUUUCUGCAGCUCCACCUCAUACCUUUACCUUACCCAUAAGCUUAAAAAGUCUUGAUCGCGAGGGUGCGAGAUUGCUGAGUUCCCGUGACUCACAGUUACUUCCAAAACCAGUUUGCAGGUGCCGAUGUUACCAAGCAGGUGACGCAACCAAGCUCAGGAGGAGCUCGAUGAAGAUCUUGUCCUUUGUGUUGUUCCGUUUUCAGUUGAUCAGUAGUGGAGCCCAGUCGGGACGAUCGGGGAUCUGUGUAGCAUUUGGGAUAGUCUUCUUUUAUUUGGGUUCCGUAGUCGGACCUUGAUUGUAUCUGGUUGUUGUAAUGCUUUAUUCAUGUAUUGUGUGAAGUGGCGAUUGUAAGCCAACUAUGUAUCUCUUUCCCUUAUGUAUUACAUGGGUUGUGUGAAGAU
rnacentral:lncRNA from 1 species